AUUGAACGCUGGCGGCAGGCCUAACACAUGCAAGUCGAACGGUAACAGGAAGCAGCUUGCUGCUUCGCUGACGAGUGGCGGACGGGUGAGUAAUGUCUGGGAAACUGCCUGAUGGAGGGGGAUAACUACUGGAAACGGUAGCUAAUACCGCAUAAUGUCGCAAGACCAAAGAGGGGGACCUUCGGGCCUCUUGCCAUCGGAUGUGCCCAGAUGGGAUUAGCUAGUAGGUGGGGUGACGGCUCACCUAGGCGACGAUCCCUAGCUGGUCUGAGAGGAUGACCAGCCACACUGGAACUGAGACACGGUCCAGACUCCUACGGGAGGCAGCAGUGGGGAAUAUUGCACAAUGGGCGCAAGCCUGAUGCAGCCAUGCCGCGUGUAUGAAGAAGGCCUUCGGGUUGUAAAGUACUUUCAGCGGGGAGGAAGGCGAUAAGGUUAAUAACCUUGUCGAUUGACGUUACCCGCAGAAGAAGCACCGGCUAACUCCGUGCCAGCAGCCGCCGUAA
rnacentral:rRNA from 1 species